UAGUUGGUAAGGUAACGGCUUACCAAGGCGACGAUCAGUAGCCGACCUGAGAGGGUGAUCGGCCACAUUGGAACUGAGACACGGUCCAAACUCCUACGGGAGGCAGCAGUGGGGAAUAUUGCACAAUGGGCGAAAGCCUGAUGCAGCAACGCCGCGUGAGUGAUGAAGGCCUUCGGGUCGUAAAACUCUGUCCUCAAGGAAGAUAAUGACGGUACUUGAGGAGGAAGCCCCGGCUAACUACGUGCCAGCAGCCGCGGUAAUACGUAGGGGGCUAGCGUUAUCCGGAUUUACUGGGCGUAAAGGGUGCGUAGGCGGUCUUUCAAGUCAGGAGUGAAAGGCUACGGCUCAACCGUAGUAAGCUCUUGAAACUGGGAGACUUGAGUGCAGGAGAGGAGAGUGGAAUUCCUAGUGUAGCGGUGAAAUGCGU
rnacentral:rRNA from 1 species